GUAGUCUCGCACAGAUGCAUAUCAAUAAGCGGAGGAAAAGAAACUAACAAGGAUUCCCUCAGUAACGGCGAGUGAAGCGGGAAGAGCUCAAAUUUGAAAUCUUAAAGGUUCACCUUGCACGAAUUGUAGUUUAAAGAAGUGUUUUCUGCUGACGAUCUGGUAAUAUAAGUUCUUUGGAAUAGGACAUCACAGAGGGUGAGAAUCCCGUCUAUGAUUGCGAUUUGUAGCUUUGUGAUUACACUUUCAAAGAGUCGGAUUGUUUGGGAAUGCAGUCCAAAACGGGAGGUAAAUUUCAUUCUAAAGCUAAAUAUUGGCGAGAGACCGAUAGCGAACAAGUACCGUGAGGGAAAGAUGAAAAGAACUUUGAAAAGAGAGUUAAAUAGUACGUGAAAUUGUCAAAAGGGAAGCGUUUAACACCAGUGUUGUUUUCUGAAAAUCAACCUCUGUUAGCUUUAUGCAUGUUUGUUUAAACCUAAUCAGCUAUCUUGCAUGUUCUAUUGUUUGCAGUGGUGCACUUUUCAGUUUACAGGUCAACAUCAGUUUUUUUUACCGUAAAAAAGUUAAAGAAAGGUAGCUCAUGGCUCCGGUCGUGAGUGUUAUAGUCUUUUUCCUAUGCGGUAGGAGAGACUGAGGUCUGCAGUGUAGGCUAUUUGGCUAGAUACUCAGGUGCUAUGUGAUACCAUUUCAUAAACAACUUGUUGAUUAUGUUUUGUCUAUUGCAUACUCGCUUGUACUAUCAUACCUACGCUUAGGAUGUUGAGUCGUAGAGCACGCAG
rnacentral:rRNA from 1 species